AACCUUAUGGACCUGCGGGCGUAUACCUGCGGAAGGAUCAUUAACCUUUCAAAUCAGGGUGCGGCGCGGCCCCCGAGGAGCGGAAACAAUCCUUGGGAGGUAUGCGGGGGCUUCGAGCCCCCCAUUUACGCACGCACGACUGCCAUCCUUACUUUACGAGCACCUUCUGUUCUCCCUCGGCGGGGCAACCUGCCGUUGGAACCGAAUAAACUCUUUUUGCAUCUAGCAUUACCUGUUCCG
rnacentral:misc_RNA from 1 species